UCAUGUAUAUGUAUUGUAGGUGUUUGAUGAUCCCACGUCAUUAACCGAGGAGGAGCUGUAUGAAUUGCGAAACAGCUGGGCAACUUGUUUUCUUGACCUAUACAAUCCCGAGGUAGAUUAUGAUGUUGCCGAUGAUGAGGCUUAGGAACUAGCUAGGUUAAUUUGUGUGAUGUUACAAUGGAUUCACAUUAAUUUUGAUGUUUUGAAUUGUAAUGACUUACAUUUUGCUUAAAUGUUAUAACAUUUUGGAUGAAUGAGUUGGUAUUUUGCUUGAAUUGUAAUGACUUAGUAUUUUAUUUGAAUUGUAAUGACUUGGUUGAAUGUAAUUGUAUUUUGGUUGAAUGUUGAAUUGUAAUGCUAUUUUGGUUUUUUUAAUUACAAAAUAGGAUUUAAAAUAUAAAAAAAAAAACGCAGGAUUUUGAAAGAAAAAAAAAAUUAAAUAAAGUUACUAUUUCACAUCUGGUGACUUGGUCAGAUGUAAAAGGUCCAAUUUAAUUAAAAAAAAAAUUGGUCAGCUGAA
rnacentral:lncRNA from 1 species